rnacentral:tRNA from 1 species
CGGCGGGUUUCGUAGAAGCGCCGACCGUUCGGGACGACGGGGUCGGAGGUUCGAAUCCUCUCACUCCGACCA